rnacentral:rRNA from 1 species
AAAUUGAAGAGUUUGAUCAUGGCUCAGAUUGAACGCUGGCGGCAGGCCUAACACAUGCAAGUCGAACGGUAACAGGAAGCAGCUUGCUGCUUCGCUGACGAGUGGCGGACGGGUGAGUAAUGUCUGGGAAACUGCCUGAUGGAGGGGGAUAACUACUGGAAACGGUAGCUAAUACCGCAUAACGUCGCAAGACCAAAGAGGGGGACCUUCGGGCCUCUUGCCAUCGGAUGUGCCCAGAUGGGAUUAGCUUGUUGGUGGGGUAACGGCUCACCAAGGCGACGAUCCCUAGCUGGUCUGAGAGGAUGACCAGCCACACUGGAACUGAGACACGGUCCAGACUCCUACGGGAGGCAGCAGUGGGGAAUAUUGCACAAUGGGCGCAAGCCUGAUGCAGCCAUGCCGCGUGUAUGAAGAAGGCCUUCGGGUUGUAAAGUACUUUCAGCGGGGAGGAAGGGAGUAAAGUUAAUACCUUUGCUCAUUGACGUUACCCGCAGAAGAAGCACCGGCUAACUCCGUGCCAGCAGCCGCGGUAAUACGGAGGGUGCAAGCGUUAAUCGGAAUUACUGGGCGUAAAGCGCACGCAGGCGGUUUGUUAAGUCAGAUGUGAAAUCCCCGGGCUCAACCUGGGAACUGCAU